rnacentral:rRNA from 1 species
UUGGAGGGCAAGUCUGGUGCCAGCAGCCGCGGUAAUUCCAGCUCAAUAGCGUAUAUUAAAGUUGUUGCAGUUAAAAAGCUCGUAGUUGAAUUUUGGGUCUGGCCGAGCGGUCCGCCUUCUAGGUAAGUACUGUUCCGAUGUUGGGCCUAUCCUUCUGGUGAGUCGGCAUGUCCUUUAUUGGGUGCGUCGGGGAACCAGGACCAUUACCUUGAAAAAAUUAGAGUGUUCAAAGCAGGCGUAUGCUCGAAUACAUUAGCAUGGAAUAAUAAAAUAGGACGCGUGGUGCUAUUUUGUUGGUUUCUAGAACCGCCGUAAUGAUUAAUAGGGAUAGUUGGGGGCAUUAGUAUUCAAUUGUCAGAGGUGAAAUCCUUGGAUUUAUUGACGACUAACUUCUGCGAAAGCAUUUGCCAAGGAUGUUUUCAUUAAUCAAGAACGAAAGUUAGGGGAUCGAAGACGAUCAGAUACCGUCGUAGUCUUAGCCAUAAACUAUGCCGACUAGGAAUCGGGCGAUGUUAUUCUCAUGACUCGCCCGGCGCCUUAUGGGAAACCAAAGUGUUUGGGUUC